rnacentral:rRNA from 1 species
AUACAUGCAAGUCGAACGAACUCUGGUAUUGAUUGGUGCUUGCAUCAUGAUUUACAUUUGAGUGAGUGGCGAACUGGUGAGUAACACGUGGGAAACCUGCCCAGAAGCGGGGGAUAACACCUGGAAACAGAUGCUAAUACCGCAUAACAACUUGGACCGCAUGGUCCGAGUUUGAAAGAUGGCUUCGGCUAUCACUUUUGGAUGGUCCCGCGGCGUAUUAGCUAGAUGGUGGGGUAACGGCUCACCAUGGCAAUGAUACGUAGCCGACCUGAGAGGGUAAUCGGCCACAUUGGGACUGAGACACGGCCCAAACUCCUACGGGAGGCAGCAGUAGGGAAUCUUCCACAAUGGACGAAAGUCUGAUGGAGCAACGCCGCGUGAGUGAAGAAGGGUUUCGGCUCGUAAAACUCUGUUGUUAAAGAAGAACAUAUCUGAGAGUAACUGUUCAGGUAUUGACGGUAUUUAACCAGAAAGCCACGGCUAACUACGUGCCAGCAGCCGCGGUAAUACGUAGGUGGCAAGCGUUGUCCGGAUUUAUUGGGCGUAAAGCGAGCGCAGGCGGUUUUUUAAGUCUGAUGUGAAAGCCUUCGGCUCAACCGAAGAAGUGCAUCGGAAACUGGGAAACUUGAGUGCAGAAGAGGACAGUGGAACUCCAUGUGUAGCGGUGAAAUGCGUAGAUAUAUGGAAGAACACCAGUGGCGAAGGCGGCUGUCUGGUCUGUAACUGACGCUGAGGCUCGAAAGUAUGGGUAGCAAACAGGAUUAGAUACCCUGGUAGUCCAUACCGUAAACGAUGAAUGCUAAGUGUUGGAGGGUUUCCGCCCUUCAGUGCUGCAGCUAACGCAUUAAGCAUUCCGCCUGGGGAGUACGGCCGCAAGGCUGAAACUCAAAGGAAUUGACGGGGGCCCGCACAAGCGGUGGAGCAUGUGGUUUAAUUCGAAGCUACGCGAAGAACCUUACCAGGUCUUGACAUACUAUGCAAAUCUAAGAGAUUAGACGUUCCCUUCGGGGACAUGGAUACAGGUGGUGCAUGGUUGUCGUCAGCUCGUGUCGUGAGAUGUUGGGUUAAGUCCCGCAACGAGCGCAACCCUUAUUAUCAGUUGCCAGCAUUAAGUUGGGCACUCUGGUGAGACUGCCGGUGACAAACCGGAGGAAGGUGGGGAUGACGUCAAAUCAUCAUGCCCCUUAUGACCUGGGCUACACACGUGCUACAAUGGAUGGUACAACGAGUUGCGAACUCGCGAGAGUAAGCUAAUCUCUUAAAGCCAUUCUCAGUUCGGAUUGUAGGCUGCAACUCGCCUACAUGAAGUCGGAAUCGCUAGUAAUCGCGGAUCAGCAUGCCGCGGUGAAUACGUUCCCGGGCCUUGUACACACCGCCCGUCACACCAUGAGAGUUUGUAACACCCAAAGUCGGUGGGGUAACCUUUUAGGAACCAGCC